CCGAGCAAGCGGGGAAUGGGGCCAGGCAGCUCAGCUGAGUACCGAUCUGACCGCUCGGGACUCGUCCUCGGGGCUCGGUGCGGGACAGAGCAGCGGAGGGUGGCUAUGGCGCUGCUUCAGCGCGGCCGCUGCUGUCGAGUAGCCGCCACGACAAGCCUGAGCCGGCUGGUGCUGGGGUCCCAGGGGCGGGUGUGUGGAAGCAAUGUGUGGAGCCAGUACAGAGCAUCAAGUUCUUUGCCAGAUGAAAAGAAGGAGUUUCUGCAAAAUGGACCUGAUUUUCAAGAUUUUGUAUCUGGGGAUUUUUCUGAUAAGAGCAUGUGGGCUGAGUAUAAAGGCAAUUUAAAACGCCAGAAGGGAGAAAGGCUGCGACUUCCUCCAUGGCUAAAAACUGAGAUUCCCAUAGGAAAGAACUAUAAUAAACUGAAGAGUACACUGCGAAGUUUAAAGCUUCACACUGUGUGUGAGGAAGCGCGUUGUCCCAACAUUGGAGAGUGUUGGGGAGGGGGUGAGUAUGCUACUGCUACAGCAACUAUCAUGUUGAUGGGUGACACAUGUACAAGAGGUUGCAGAUUUUGUUCCGUAAAGACAGCAAAAAAUCCACCUCCAUUGGAUCUUAAUGAACCCCACAAUACAGCAAAAGCUAUAGCUGAAUGGGGCUUGGAUUAUGUUGUAUUGACAUCUGUAGACCGAGAUGAUAUUCUAGAUGGUGGAGCAGAACACUUUGCAAAAACUGUAUCACAUUUGAAGGAAAGGAAUUCAAAAAUUCUAGUAGAAUGUUUAACCCCUGAUUUUCGAGGGGACCUUAAAGCUGUGGCGAAAGUUGCCUUGUCAGGACUAGACGUAUACGCCCAUAAUGUGGAAACUGUUCCAGAGUUACAGAGGAAAGUACGUGAUCCUCGGGCCAAUUUUAAGCAAUCCUUACAAGUUUUGAAGCAUGCUAAGAAGGUCCAACCUGAUGUAAUUUCUAAAACCUCCAUUAUGCUGGGAUUAGGCGAGACAGAUGAACAAGUAUAUUCAACAAUGAAAUUAUUACGUGAGGCAGAUGUGGACUGUUUGACCUUAGGACAAUACAUGCAACCAACAAAACGUCAUCUAAAGGUUGAGGAAUAUGUUACUCCUGACAAGUUUAAACACUGGGAAAAAGUGGGAAAUGAGCUUGGAUUUCAUUACACAGCUAGUGGUCCUCUAGUGCGCUCCUCUUACAAAGCAGGUGAAUUUUUCUUGAGGAAUUUAGUAGAGAAAAGGAAGACAAAGGUCAUCUGAAGGUGGAAGUGGACCCACUUUAAGUCACCUACAGCUUUAAAGAUUCACUUUUUCAGACUGUCCAGUUUGGCCAAUGUACAUGGCAGAAGGGCAUUACUGGCACAUGAUGGCAUACAUCACAUUAGUAGAUGUGCAGGGCUUGGCUGUAAACAAUGGAUCGUGUGAUGUGUCCUGGUGGGAAGCUGGAGGCAUCUAGGAAGUGAAUCUCUUGUGUGGCGUGGUCCAGGCUGAAAUUGAUGGUGGGGUGGAAAUUGUUGAAAUCCAGGUGGAAUUCUUCAAGGGCAACUCUCCACCACCACAUUCUACAGGCCACUAUCCUCUGAUCCCACUGAGGAGUACCAAAAGAAACUACACCAUCUGCUCAAGAAACUCCCUGCUAUAGCACAGGAACAAAUCUAUACAGACACACCCCCAGAGCUCUGACCAGGGCUAUUCUAUCUGCUACCUAAGAUCCAUAAACCUGGAAACCCUGGGCACCCCAUCAUCUCAGGUAUUGGGACUCUUACAGCAGGAUUAUCUGGCUAUUUGGACUCUCUCCUCACACCCUACGCUACCAGCACUCCUAGCUAUCUUCGAGACACCACUGACUUCCUGAGGAAACUACAAUGCAUUGGUGAUCUUCCUGAAAACACCAUCUUGGCCACCAUGGAUGUAGAAGCUCUUCACACCAAUGUUCCAUGAGGAUGGACUACAAGCUGUCAAGAACAGUAUGAUGAGGCCACAGACCACUUGGUGGCUGAGCUUUGUGCCUUUGUCCUCAUCCACAACCAUUUCAGAUUUGGGGACAACUUAUACCUUCAAGCCAGUGGCACUGCUAUGCAUACCUGCAUGGCCCCACAGUAUGCCAACAUUUUUAUGGCUGACUUAGAAUAAUGCUUCCUCAGCUCUUGUCCCCUAGUGCCCCUCCUCUAGUUGCACUACACUGAUGACAUCUUCAUCAUCUGGACCCACAGGAAGGAGGCCCUUGAGUCGCAAGAUGAGAUCCCAGUUAAGCUGAUACACCCUGGAAAUGACAUUGGACGUUGGACUAUAACCUAUGAACUAAAUUCAAAAGGAACUCUUUGCAACUAUAAAGUACACUAUCUCUGCUAUGUAUCUGAACCUCAAGAAUUAAACUCCUGUCUGUAUGUAUAUUGAUCUUUUAACCAUACUCUCUUCCUUUUCUUUUUAAAUAAAUUUUAGUUUGGUUAAUAAGAA